AUUUUCUUAUUGAAUCGCUGUCAGACACAGCUGGUGGAUUUUUGUACGUGCAGUUUGGAGUUCCUGGCUAAAAUGAACCACAUGAAUACAGAUUACGGAUAUUCUUAUCUCAGCACGCUUUUGAGAUGGAGCAUUCAAAUUACAAGACCUUCAGUCUGCUGUUUUAAUCUGACCCAGAAGGAAAACUUCACUACAGUUCGUUUCCUUGAUUCCCGUGCAAUUUUAUUUUGGAACUGAAGCUCAAUCGAAUUUAAACAACUUUUUUGAAAGUCUGUAAUGAAAGUUGCAUUUUUGCUUACACGUAGCCGCUUUGACCCACGGUGAAUGGAAGUCAUAAAGCAGGGUAUAAAGGGAGUUUCUAAAUUGCCUGUUGUUGAGUCCAUUGAAGGCAACAGGAGAGUCCAGAAUGUGACCUUUGAGAGCAAAUUUGCCUCUGCUUCUUACUGAAUUUUGUGUUGCGUUUUUCUGUAUAUAUAUUUCUUUUGACUCAGAAAUACAAAUUAUAAUGAAGGUGAGGCACUUCACAAUACGUUUGGCUUCAGCAUUGCUGAAUAUACAUUUGUAUAUGUAUAUAUAUUAUAUAUAUAUUGUACAGCAAAACAUUUCAGAAUCUGCAGAACGUUGCUAAUAACUGCAGUGGAACAGGGAGGAAUAGUGAAAACAGAUUUCUGCUUUGAAUGCUUUCAAAUUUAAUAAUUAAUGCAUUUUAUUUUUACUUGUAUAGGAUUAUCAUGAACUCUAGAUAGGUAGUUACAUUUGAAAAUGCUAAGUGAGAUAGCAAAACUGGAUCAUAAACACAGGAAACAGAUUCUGCAUUCAUUUUCUUGCAUUUCUGUCCUGCUGGCAUGCUCUUUGUACUUUCUACCAUUUCAGAAUCACAGGAGCUAAAAUAGUCUGAAAAAGAAGAGUCCAAAUCCUUGCCUUUGGAAGGCCCAGCUCGUUACCCAACUCCUGAGCAAAGAAAAAGAAGAAUAAAGGCUUCAGUCACCACACAUACUCACACUGGGAGACUUCAGCCUCAGCGUGACUGUCAGCCCUGUGGACACGCUGGCUGUCACUGUGCCCACCGUCUGCCACAACAUCACCUGCAGCCUCUGUGGAACUUCAAUGGCCGUCUCCACACCGACCGCCUCAUCCAGAGCAGCACUGCCACGGGUCACCGCCUCAGUCCUGGUCCCAGGUGUCCCCUGUGCCGGCAAUCCCCAGCAGUGAGUGAGUGGGCAGUGGACACAACCUGGGCUUCUCGCCGGGCCCUGCACGGGUGGUGGCAGUGUUCCAGGGGCACCGCCUCCGGCCCCACCCAUCCCUCUCCAAAAACGAGCUGAUGCUGUUCUCCUGGUUUGAGCGGCUGUGUACGGACUGUGCGACUGCCCGAGGGGAACCUUCCAACCUACUGCCUGAACUGAACUGAACUGAACUGAACUUCGGUGUCACGAGCGCGGCUGCAGAUAUGCAGUAACCGUACUGAAACUGUA
rnacentral:lncRNA from 7 species